rnacentral:rRNA from 1 species
GUAGGGAAUAUUGGGCAAUGGAGGCAACUCUGACCCAGCCAUGCCGCGUGCAGGAUGACGGCCCUCUGGGUUGUAAACUGCUUUUAUACGGGAAGAAAAAAUACUACGUGUAGUAUACUGACGGUACCGUAAGAAUAAGGAUCGACUAACUCCGUGCCAGCAGCAGCGGUAAUACGGAGGAUCCAAGCGUUGUCCGGAUUUAUUGGGUUUAAAGGGUGCGUAGGCGGAUCUUUAAGUCAGUGGUGAAAGCCUGCAGCUUAACUGUAGAAUUGCCAUUGAAACUGAAGAUCUUGAAUGUGGUUAAAGUAGGCGGAAUGUAUCAUGUAGCGGUGAAAUGCUUAGAUAUGAUACAGAACACCGAUAGCGAAGGCAGCUUGCUGAACCAUUAUUGACGCUGAGGCACGAAAGCGUGGGGAGCGAACAGGAUUAGAAACCCGUGUAGUCC